UACAGAGGUCUCAAGCGUUGUUCGGAUUCAUUGGGCGUAAAGGGUGCGUAGGCGGCGCGGUAAGUCGGGUGUGAAAUCUCGGAGCUUAACUCCGAAACUGCAUUCGAUACUGCCGUGCUUGAGGACUGGAGAGAAGACUGGAAUUUACGGUGUAGCGGUGAAAUGCGUAGAUAUUGGGAGGAACACCAGUGGCGAAGGCGGCUCACUGGACCGGUACUGACGCUGAUGCGCGAAAGCGUGGGGAGCAAACGGG
rnacentral:rRNA from 1 species